CUACGUGCCAGCAGCCGCGGUAAUACGGAAGGUCCAGGCGUUAUCCGGAUUUAUUGGGUUUAAAGGGUGCGUAGGCCGUUUGAUAAGCGUGCUGUGAAAUAUAGUGGCUCAACCUCUAUCGUGCAGCGCGAACUGUUGAACUUGAGUGCGUAGUAGGUAGGCGGAAUUCGUGGUGUAGCGGUGAAAUGCUUAGAUAUCACGAAGAACUCCGAUUGCGAAGGCAGCUUACCGUAACGUUACUGACGCUUAAGCACGAAGGUGCGGGUAUCGAACAGGAUUAGAUACCCUGGUAGUCCGCACAGUAAACGAUGGAUGCUCGCUGUUGGCCUUUAUGGUCAGUGGCUUAGCGAAAGCGUUAAGCAUCCCACCUGGGGAGUACGCCGGCAACGGUGAAACUCAAAGGAAUUGACGGGGGCCCGCACAAGCGGAGGAACAUGUGGUUUAAUUCGAUGAUACGCGAGGAACCUUACCCGGGCUUGAACUGCAGCUGAACGAUUCAGAGAUGAU
rnacentral:rRNA from 1 species